GUUUCUAUCUAUGAAGUGUUUUCUUCCAGUACGAAAGGAUCGAAGAAAAAAGGCCCACGCUCAAAGCAAGCCUUACCCUCAUCUGAUGAAGACAACUCAAUUAGAUAAAAAGCACCCCCCCCCCGCCAAAGAUAAUGGCU
rnacentral:rRNA from 1 species